rnacentral:rRNA from 1 species
CAGUCGCCACGGUAAAACGUAGGGUGCAAGCGUUAAUCGGAAUUACUGGGCGUAAAGCGUGCGCAGGCGGUUAUAUAAGACAGAUGUGAAAUCCCCGGGCUCAACCUGGGACCUGCAUUUGUGACUGUAUAGCUAGAGUACGGUAGAGGGGGAUGGAAUUCCGCGUGUAGCAGUGAAAUGCGUAGAUAUGCGGAGGAACACCGAUGGCGAAGGCAAUCCCCUGGACCUGUACUGACGCUCAUGUACGAAAGCGUGGGGAGCAAACAGGAUUAGAUACCCCCGUAGUCCCUGUCUCUUAUAC